GAUUAUUAAUUUUGAUCAGUUGGUGGUAGUGGUGGUGGUGAGAUUGUUGCGCAGGAUAUGUUUCUAUGAAGGCAUCUGGUUCUUUGAAGUCUGGAUAUGGUGUUGAUGAUGCAUUUGUGCUGGAUCAGGAGGUGAAGACGAGGGGGUUUGAUUUGUUGGUGGAGAUUAGCCUGACAUAGGUGUUUCUGAUUUAUGAGAAACAGUGAGGCAAGUUUGAUUUCUGAUUUUUGUUAACAUUUUGAAGUAGUCAAUUAUCUUCAAAAGUUCUUAUAAUAUCUCCAAAUUGCCAAUAACCUUGAUCUUGAAGUACCUCCAUCCUUUUAUUUUUAUAGCUUGAUCUUCUUCUCCUGACUCUCUAAUUUUAAUUUCCUAUGUUUUCUAACUAAUUUGAUGACACACAAUUAAUCAUAAACCUUGGGCUCUGGCUUAGGCACUUGGACACAAAUUGUUAAGUUGCCACACAUUGUAUGGUUCUUUUUUACUUCACUAGGCUCUAUGAUUCUUGGAAAUGUUGAAUGCUGAAUUUGUAGAGCUUGAAGUCAAUUUUCCAAUAAAUCCAGGUUCACUCCAUUUUUACUAUGAUUCUGUGUGAAUGGAUCAUCGAAUUGUAGUGGUUUCAUAUAAACAUUCAUAAGAGGCCCAUAUAAUUUAUUAUAAGGCACAAACUAAAGAGUU